rnacentral:lncRNA from 1 species
UCUGAUACGGUCCGAUGUACGUAGGACUUAGCUUACCUUUCUUCUGAAAUCGCACUACACCUCUCCACGGUGAUUGAAGGAAAAAAUAUGUCCUAGCUAAGAACAUGUAAGAACAUUUGAAUACAUAUGCAAACUAUUAACACUUUAAAGUAGGCAUGCAUUCAAAAACAAUUCACAAAACCCAUGACUUUCAAAGCCUAGUAUAUGGUGAACCAAUAAACUCUUUAACAACAUUAAAGAGAAGGAAAGAUUUAGAGUUCCUUUACCCUUGAAGCUCAUCCUUGUUUACACAAGGGAUUCACCCAAGUGGAGGGCCUUCAAGU